AAGCUCAGGGAAGAGCAGAGCCAUCCAGGAGAGAACUUGGAGGAAGAGGAAGACAAUAGUUUCCUUGGAAGAGCUGUGAGUACUAGAAAAGUACUGUCCUGUAUCCUGGAGGGACACCAGAUGGAACCAAAAGACCAUGUUAUUUAAGUCAACGAGUCAAAAACUAAAACCUUAAUUUACAACGAAAAAGUUUUUUUAAAAAAUAAACAAUCUAAAUGACUACUUUCCUGAGCCUGU
rnacentral:lncRNA from 1 species